rnacentral:rRNA from 1 species
GAUGAACGCUGGCGGCGUGCCUAAUACAUGCAAGUCGAGCGAACGGACGAGAAGCUUGCUUCUCUGAUGUUAGCGGCGGACGGGUGAGUAACACGUGGAUAACCUACCUAUAAGACUGGGAUAACUUCGGGAAACCGUAGCUAAUACCGGAUAAUAUUUUGAACCGCAUGGUUCAAGAGUGAAAGACGGUCUUGCUGUCACUUAUAGAUGGGUCCGCGCUGCAUUAGCUAGUUGGUAAGGUAACGGCUUAUCAAGGCAACGAUGCAUAGCCGACCUGAGAGGGUGAUCGGCCACACUGGUACUGAGGCACGGUCCAGACUCCUACGGGAGGCAGCAGUAGGGAAUCUUCCGCAAUGGGCGAAAGCCUGACGGAGCAACGCCGCGUGAGUGAUGAAGGUCUUCGGAUCGUAAAACUCUGUUAUUAGGGAAGAACAUAUGUGUAAGUAACUGUGCACAUCUUGACGGUACCUAAUCAGAAAGCCACGGCUAACUACGUG